rnacentral:rRNA from 1 species
GAUGAACGCUAGCGACAGGCUUAACACAUGCAAGUCGAGGGGCAGCACGGGAGUAGCAAUACAACUGGUGGCGACCGGCGCACGGGUGAGUAACGCGUAUGCAACCUACCUAUCAGAGGGGAAUAACCCGGCGAAAGUCGGACUAAUACCGCAUAAAACAGGGGCACCGCAUGGUGAUAUUUGUUAAAGAAAUUCGCUGAUAGAUGGGCAUGCGUUCCAUUAGGUAGUUGGUGAGGUAACGGCUCACCAAGCCGACGAUGGAUAGGGGAACUGAGAGGUUGGUCCCCCACACUGGUACUGAGACACGGACCAGACUCCUACGGGAGGCAGCAGUGAGGAAUAUUGGUCAAUGGGCGGGAGCCUGAACCAGCCAAGUCGCGUGAAGGAAGAAGGAUCUAUGGUUCGUAAACUUCUUUUGCAGGGGAAUAAAGUGCAGGACGUGUCCUGUUUUGUAUGUACCCUGAGAAUAAGGAUCGGCUAACUCCGUGCCAGCCGCCGCGGUAA